CCUACGGGCGGCACCAGUGGGGAAUAUUGCACAAUGGGCGCAAGCCUGAUGCAGCCAUGCCGCGCGUAUGAAGAAGGCCUUCGGGUUGUAAAGUACUUUCAGCGGGGAGGAAGGUGUUGUGGUUAAUAACCACAGCAAUUGACGUUACCUGCAGAAGAAGCACCGGCUAACUCCGUGCCAGCAGCCGCGGUAAUACGGAGGGUGCAAGCGUUAAUCGGAAUUACUGGGCGUAAAGCGCACGCAGGCGGUCUGUCGAGUCGGAUGUGAAAUCCCCGGGCUCAACCUGGGGACUGCAUUCGAAACUGGCAGGCUAGAGUCUUGUAGAGGGGGGUAGAAAUCCAGGUGUAGCGGUGAAAUGCGUAGAGAUCUGGAGGAAUACCGGUGGCGAAGGCGGCCCCCUGGACAAAGACUGACGCUCAGGUGCGAAAGCGUGGGGAGCAAACAGGAUUAGAUACCCCUGUAGUC
rnacentral:rRNA from 1 species